rnacentral:rRNA from 1 species
CACAAGGGGUGAAGCCUGCGGUUCAAUUGGAGUCAACGCCAGGAAACUUACCAGGAGAGACAGCAGAUUGAGGGUCAGGCUGAAGACCUUACCUGACGAGCUGAGAGGAGGUGCAUGGCCGUCGCCAGCUCGUGCCGUGAGGCGUCCUGUUAAGUCAGGCAACGAGCGAGACCCCUAUCCGUAAUUGCUAACUGCCCAGAGAUGGGUAGAGGCUAGUUACAGAGACUGCCGCUGCUAAAGCGGAGGAAGGAAGGGGCCACGGCAGGUCAGUAUGCCCCGAAACUCCUGGGCCACACGCGGGCUGCAAUGGUAGGGACAAUAGGUUCCGACCUCGAAAGAGGAAGGCAAUCCCCAAACCCUACCCCAGUUGUGAUCGAGGAUUGAAACCCGUCCUCGUGAAUAUGGAACCCCUAGUAACCGCGUGUCAUCMCCGCGCGGUGAAUACGUCCCUGCUCC